UAGAGUUUGAUCCUGGCUCAGAUUGAACGCUGGCGGUAUGCUUAACACAUGCAAGUCGAACGGAAACGAUGUUAGCUUGCUAACAGGCGUCGAGUGGCGGACGGGUGAGUAACGCGUAGGAAUCUACCAAGUAGUGGGGGAUAGCCCGGAGAAAUCCGGAUUAAUACCGCAUAAUCUCUACGGAGUAAAGAGGGCCUCUAUUUAUAAGCUUUCGCUAUUUGAUGAGCCUGCGUAAGAUUAGCUUGUUGGUGAGGUAAAAGCUCACCAAGGCAACGAUCUUUAGCUGGUCUGAGAGGAUGAUCAGCCACACUGGGACUGAGACACGGCCCAGACUCCUACGGGAGGCAGCAGUGGGGAAUAUUGGACAAUGGGCGCAAGCCUGAUCCAGCAAUACCGCGUGUGUGAAGAAGGCCUGAGGGUUGUAAAGCACUUUCAAUUGUGAAGAAAAGCUAAAGAUUAAUACU
rnacentral:rRNA from 1 species